rnacentral:lncRNA from 1 species
ACGGAGCCGGGCAGAGGUUUUAGGGGAAUGAUUAACAAAGGCGUCCGAAGAAAUCGUUGUUGGAAGGUGGCCAAGGUGGAAAGAGACGUUGCUUUGGCCCUGCAAGUAAGAAGAGAGAAGGAACAGCCUGAAGGAGUAACACUAAAUUUAAAAUGACACUUUUUUACCAACCAGCGAAAGCAGAUGUUCAAAGGGGAUAUUGGCCAGGUGCACUCACUCACGCCUUUAAUCCCAGCACUUUGGGGGCAGACGCGGGGAGAUAGCAUGAUUCUACGAGUUCAACCCCAGCCUGGGCAACAUACGGAGACCCCGUACCGUCUCUACAAAAACAUUAAACAAAAAAAUUAGCUGAGCAUGGUGGCGUACCCCUGUAGUUGCAGCUACACUAGAGGCUGAGGUGGGAGGAUCGCUUGAGCCCGGGAUGUUGAGGCUGCAGUGAGCCUCAAUCCUACCACUGUGCUCCAGCCUGGGCGACAGAGCGAGCCCGUGUCUCAGAAAAGGGGGGAGGGGUGGGAUAUUAUUGAUGAUAGGCCUUCUGACGUCUGGCAAUAGGAUCCAGAGUAACAUCGGUCAUCUAUAAAUUUUUUUUUAACUCAGU